GAUCCUGGCUCAGGAUGAACGCUAGCUACAGGCUUAACACAUGCAAGUCGAGGGGCAGCAUGGUCUUAGCUUGCUAAGGCCGAUGGCUACCGGCGCACGGGUGAGUAACACGUAUCCAACCUGCCGUCUACUCUUGGACAGCCUUCUGAAAGGAAGAUUAAUACAAGAUGGCAUCACGAGUUCACAUGUUCACAUGAUUAAAGGUAUUCCGGUAGACGAUGGGGAUGCG
rnacentral:rRNA from 1 species